rnacentral:rRNA from 1 species
GGACCCGCACAAGCGGUGGAUGAUGUGGUUUAAUUCGAUGCAACGCGAAGAACCUUACCAGGGUUUGACAUCCUGCGAAUCUCUUGGAAACGAGAGAGUGCCUUCGGGAACGCAGUGACAGGUGGUGCAUGGCUGUCGUCAGCUCGUGUCGUGAGAUGUUGGUUAAGUCCCGCAACGAGCGCAACCCACGUCUUUAGUUGCCAGCAUUUAGUUGGGCACUCUAGAGAGACUGCCGGUGAUAAACCGGAGGAAGGUGUGGAUGACGUCAAGUCAUCAUGCCCCUUACAUCCUGGGCUACACACGUACUACAAUGCUACGGACAAAGGGCUGCAAGUUCGCGAGGACAAGCAAA